rnacentral:miRNA from 1 species
CUCCUCUGCCGUGCUGGUUGUG